rnacentral:rRNA from 1 species
GACGAACGCUGGCGGCGUGCCUAAUACAUGCAAGUUGAGCGCUGAAGGUUGGUACUUGUACCAACUGGAUGAGCAGCGAACGGGUGAGUAACGCGUGGGGAAUCUGCCUUUGAGCGGGGGACAACAUUUGGAAACGAAUGCUAAUACCGCAUAAAAACUUUAAACACAAGUUUUAAGUUUGAAAGAUGCAAUUGCAUCACUCAAAGAUGAUCCCGCGUUGUAUUAGCUAGUUGGUGAGGUAAAGGCUCACCAAGGCGAUGAUACAUAGCCGACCUGAGAGGGUGAUCGGCCACAUUGGGACUGAGACACGGCCCAAACUCCUACGGGAGGCAGCAGUAGGGAAUCUUCGGCAAUGGACGAAAGUCUGACCGAGCAACGCCGCGUGAGUGAAGAAGGUUUUCGGAUCGUAAAACUCUGUUGGUAGAGAAGAACGUUGGUGAGAGUGGAAAGCUCAUCAAGUGACGGUAACUACCCAGAAAGGGACGGCUAACUACGUA